rnacentral:misc_RNA from 1 species
CUGCUACCAAAACGACAUCUAUUUGCGCAAGUUAGCCUCCAUAAUGCAAGCUUUCCCUAACAUGCACCUGCUUUCUCGGCUCAAUUUAGUCAAAAUUACGCCCCCUCAGCAUUCCACAGUCACACAGGCGGCGCGUCGAAUCACUCCCGGCAGAUCCGGGCCCCUACUCCACUCUCCACGGCUAGAAUCGUAAACCAAUAUCAAUCCUUCCCUUAAUCCUCUGAUAUUUCUUCCACUCCUCCUCAACAAAUCGUCAAUGCAACCAUUAACUUGAAUCAGCACCACCUUGUCUUCCACUCCUACGCAGCUGAACCUCACUAUACUGUCUAGUCUAACUUGAGCUGGCAGUGGAGGGCUCUUCAUCCUACACCACUCCCCGAAUCCACCGCCGCCGGAGGUUUGUCUACGAGCGUCAAAUCGCCAAAAUGAUAGCUCCACUGCGUGGCUAGCUAAAAUGUAAACAUGCCCUGCUGCUGCACAUGCUGCCACCACACACCCGCCUCCGGGAACCGCUCGGCUCCUAAGCCACACACCUGCCUCCACAUCGUACAAGUCCAUUGNNNNNNNCACAUGAGCUUCUGCCCCCGCCGUGGCCAAGCGUGAGAAUUCAUUUCCGGUCACUCCACCAAUUUUCAAUCCUCCAAUUACAUAGAAGACACCAUCAACG